rnacentral:rRNA from 1 species
GACGAACGCUGGCGGCGUGCCUAAUACAUGCAAGUUGAGCGCUGAAGGUUGGUACUUGUACCAACUGGAUGAGCAGCGAACGGGUGAGUAACGCGUGGGGAAUCUGCCUUUGAGCGGGGGACAACAUUUGGAAACGAAUGCUAAUACCGCAUAAAAACUUUAAACACAAGUUUUAAGUUUGAAAGAUGCAAUUGCAUCACUCAAAGAUGAUCCCGCGUUGUAUUAGCUAGUUGGUGAGGUAAAGGCUCAACAAGGCGAUGAUACAUAGCCGACCUGAGAGGGUGAUCGGCCACAUUGGGACUGAGACACGGCCCAAACUCCUACGGGGGGCAACAGUAGGGAAUCUUCGGCAAUGGACGAAAGUCUGACCGAGCAACGCCGCGUGAGUGAAGAAGGGUUUCGGAUCGUAAAACUCUGUUGGUAGAGAAGAACGUUGGUGAGAGUGGAAAGCUCAUCAAGUGACGGUAACUACACAGAAAGGGACGGCUAACUACGUG